rnacentral:tRNA from 1 species
CAAUUAAUAGUUUAUAUAUAAAAUAGUAAUUUUGGAGAUUACUGAUAUUUGAUUGA